rnacentral:tRNA from 1 species
GAAAUAUGAAAUACAGAGAAAAGCUUCUAACUUUUAUUCUUAGCGGUGAAAUUCCGUUAAUAUUUCU